rnacentral:rRNA from 1 species
GGACUACUAGGGUUUCUAAUCCUGUUUGCUCCCCACGCUUUCGCGCCUCAGCGUCAGUCUCGGUCCAGAGCGCCGCCUUCGCCACCGGUGUUCUUCCCAAUAUCUACGAAUUUCACCUCUACACUGGGAAUUCCACGCUCCUCUCCCGAUCUCUAGCCGUCCAGUCCCAGACGCACCUCCCAGGUUAAGCCCGGGGCUUUCACGCCUGACUUGGACCGCCGCCUGCGCGCCCUUUACGCCCAGUAAAUCCGAACAACGCUCGCCCCCUUCGUAUUACCGCGGCUGCUGGCAC